rnacentral:rRNA from 1 species
AUUGAACGCUGGCGGCAUGCCUAACACAUGCAAGUCGAACGGCAGCACAGUGGAGCUUGCUCCAUGGGUGGCGAGUGGCGGACGGGUGAGUAAUGCAUCGGGACCUACCCAGACGUGGGGGAUAACGUAGGGAAACUUACGCUAAUACCGCAUACGUCCUACGGGAGAAAGCGGGGGACCUUCGGGCCUCGCGCGGUUGGACGGACCGAUGUGCGAUUAGCUAGUUGGCGGGGUAAUGGCCCCCCAAGGCGACGAUCGCUAGCUGGUCUGAGAGGAUGAUCAGCCACACUGGAACUGAGACACGGUCCAGACUCCUACGGGAGGCAGCAGUGGGGAAUAUUGGACAAUGGGCGCAAGCCUGAUCCAGCAAUGCCGCGUGUGUGAAGAAGGCCUUCGGGUUGUAAAGCACUUUUAUCGGGAGCGAAAUACCAUGGGUUAAUAACCGGUGGGGCUGACGGUACCCGAGGAAUAAGCACCGGCUAACUUCGUG